AGUGAACGCUGGCGGCGUGCCUAAUACAUGCAAGUCGAACGGAGAUUAAGUAGCUUGCUAUUUAAUCUUAGUGGCGCACGGGUGAGUAAUAUAUAGCUAACUUGCCCAUUACUAAGGGACAACAGUUGGAAACGACUGCUAAUACCUUAUACUCCGUAUCUAUAUAAGUAGAUACGGGAAAGUUUUUCGGUAAUGGAUAGGGCUAUAUCGUAUCAGCUAGUUGGUAAGGUAAUGGCUUACCAAGGCUAUGACGCGUAACUGGUCUGAGAGGAUGAUCAGUCACACGGGAACUGAGACACGGUACAGACUCCUACGGGAGGCAGCAGUAGGGAAUAUUGCUCAAUGGGGGAAACCCUGAAGCAGCAACGCCGCGUGGAGGAGGACACUUUUCGGAGCGUAAACUCCUUUUAUUGGGAAAGAAUUAUGACGGUACCCAAGGAAUAAGCACCGGCUAACUCCGUG
rnacentral:rRNA from 1 species